GUGACCGAUCGAUCGGCACACCUCUAGAUUAAAUAUUGGUAAAUCUUCCAUAACACCAGUGUUACUAUGGAAUAUGAAUAUCAGUCCAGUGUUUCACAUUUAAGCUUCCCUAACAGGAACUUUUCUGUAGUUUAGAAACUAACCUGUAACAAUAACAGCUCACUUUCUACGUCAACCUGAAGAAAAUUUACACAAAGAUCUGAAAUUAUAUCCAAUUUAAUAAUAGGCUCACAAAUACGCUUAAAAUAAAUGUCUAUUCUCCAGCUUUUAGUUCAUCUUCAGAGAGUUUAACAGAUGAACUCUGACCUCGCCCCAAACCUGCCGAGCUUUGGGUUUGACAAUACGGGGAACGUCACCUGGAUUGGGGGGUCGAGAUGGUGGGGGGCAGGAGAGCAACGAAGGUAAGAUGGGAAAGACGACCGAAAGAAACCCUGAUGUAGGCGUGGGAGAGACAAUCGGUAGCAUUAAUACGUAGACGCCGCAUGGAGCGGCUCAAAGGUCAUGGAGCGGGUCAAAGGUCGUGAGUUAUUAAUUUGAACACGUUCUUUAAUAAAGUUAUGAAGGUUUUAACCCAAUCAGAGGACCUGCUGCUCUCAGCCAAUCAGAGGACUUGUUGCUCUAGUAAAGCAGGAUCAGUUCAGAAACGAUAUGAAAUGAGAAAAAGCUAUUUAUUAACUGAUUAAGUCUGUUUUAGAUUGUUGUU